GAAACUACAGCCCACCCCCGCACCCAACUUCAUAUCUGGGAUUACAAAACUGAGUGUCUCAUCCUUCCAUCUCUUGGGAAAACAAGAUGCAAGGGUUUCAAACAUCUCUUUGCCAGCUCCAGGGCCCUUUCUCCCCAGUACAGUCUCCAGGAACCAGCAAAGCUGAGAUUCCUCUGAUGUGUGGGUGCCCAGAUAAUGGGGCCCCAGGCACCGUAAUUCCUAAGUGGAGGGGUGAGGAGCUGUCUGAUGACCUGAGUCCUGGCGGAUCUGAGAAGACAGAACCUUGGACUUGAGGUGCAUGGGAAAAACAUGCUGCCAAACCAAAAGGAGCCCACCAGCUCACUCAGUACAGCCUCCCCAGAGACCUCCUGAUGAUGGAGGAGAAGAGAAGUGGCAGAGACCCUGAUGACCUCCAUUCAAUGCUGCUCUAAGCUGAUGCACCUAGCAUCGUGCUUGAUGAAUGGAGGUCUCAACAAACUUUGGCUGGCUGGAUAGAUGAAUGGAGAAAAAGAGGGCUGCUAGCUCUCUUUUCAAGUCCUUCUUCCUGGACCCUCCUUUAACUGGGAUGGACCAGCUUAAAGUAGCUCUGGACACUCUUCACGGGCAGUUCACCUUGCAAUGAAAACAUCUGUGUCUUCUACCAAUAUAAAGGUAAGGGGCAUGAAACUCCCACACUUACAAGUGGAAUUCUCUAUUUACAGCAUAGCCCCUCAUCAUUGGCAAGCUCCUAGAACAGUGGUUUUCAACCCAGGGUAAUUUUGCUGCAUACACCCACCAACCCCCAGGUGACAUUUGGCAAUUUUGGGAGACAUUUUUGGUUAUUACAACUAAUGGCAUCUAGUGGGUAAGGGCCAGGGAUUCUGCUAACCAUCUUACAAUGCCCAGAACAGUCCCUUACAAUAAAGAAUUAUCCAGCCCAAAAUGUUAACAGUGCCAAGGUUGAGAAACCCUGUUCUAGAAUAAACAUCACUACUUCACUGACCAGCCUAGGACAUUCUCGGGGCUUAUGCAUCUAAUGUGUGUCACCAGUGCAGUCAGAAAAGUGUCAAAGGAAGGGCUGCCUGGAAGUUCCCAGCAGCCUGGAUCAGGGCACCACCGGUCUAAGCCUAGGACCAGCGGCUCAAUGUUCCCAGUGACCAGAAGUGAUCAGACUCUUGGAGAAUGACACACAUUAACUGAUCCCUCAGGAGAAGUCACCAACAACCAACACCAGUUCAUUCAUUCAUAACUGGAGAGCCAGCUGGCACUAGUCUAGGUUAAAUCUUCCUCUAGGCAAGUCCACCCUGGGACAGAAUUACAGUGAACCCUGUCACCUCAGGGCUUUCUCCCAGUGAUAACUCAUUGGAUUAACGCCACAAAAUUUUAGGAAAAAUCAUUUCUAGAGAACACUCUUGGGCAAGCUUCACAGCACACUGUCUCUGGACAUCACCAACCAAUUUUAAAAAGUCUUACUCUCCAACAGCUUACUUUCAUUGGUGAUCCAAGGCAUCUUCACCUAAUUUCCAACAAACUGCAGCACAACUGAGGGGAGACAGCUUUUUUCCAUCAUUUACAUCCCAGAGCCUUGUCUUCCUGCACACACUAAUCUCUUGUUGAAGAUGACAAAAGACCCUGUGUUGUGAGUACUGUCUCUUAGGUUGAAUGGCUAAUUCCAUGAUCACAUGUUUGUUUCACUAGCUCCCAUUUUAGAGUAACCUUGUUCUUAGUGCUAUACAUUCAUAUUUUCUACAGCCUUGAAUGCAUCCAUUUAUAUUGAGCAUAAUUGACAAAUGCCGAAGUGCAAAAUGAAAUGUAUUCCUGUAGCAGCUGUGAGCAUCCCCUGCUAUGCAGGCUUCUCUGCAGGUGACUGUCUCAUUACAUAUUGCUCAGGGGGCGGUAAGUUCAUUACAGUUUUAGCUACCUGGGGAGAGGUGUGCUAUCAGGAACAGAGAAGCAUCUGGCAUGAACAGUUCAUCCCUGAUGGCCUUGGUAUGGCUAACAGAUGGGCAUCAGGCAGUAGAGGCCCUCAAACUUGGUUGGCCACAGUUGGCUUCUCAAGCUCUGCAAGAAAAGACAAAUGGACAAAAAUCAAAGAACCAUCACAUCCUGGGAGAUCACAUUAUGCCUUCGAGCUGAUGUCAUCAUGUACCCAACAGAAAAGCCCUUGGUGGUGUUUGUCUGGAUCCAUGGAAAGAUGGACUAGCGUCCCCUGAGAAGAUGACACGAAGGUGAGCCCACUGUCAGGGUUUAAUCUGGAAUUUGUACCAGACAGCCAGAGAAACCAACCUCCCGUGGCAUGGCAGAAGGGAAGUGAGAGGGACAAGAUCAAAGACACAUCCUUCCUCUUGCCUCCCACCAGCCAAAGCCCACAAAGCCGCUAAAGUGGGAUGUGUCAGUUUGGUCCCUCAUCAGCAAAGUUGGCAGCCCAGCAGCCUCUCUGGAACAGGAAGGGAGGGAAUUCUGUUUCAGAUAGCAAUGCCCAGAUGGCCAUGAAUUGAAGUCUCACUCAGCUCCAUGUGGACAUUAAAAACACGGAAAUGCUGAUGUGUGGAUUCCCACAGCCUGUACCUUCCACCCAGAAGUCUCCUGGCUUCUGCUCAGUCCAGCAAGGGAAGCCAGUGGGGGCUUUUAAAGGAGCCGUGUGGGGCCCAGGCCUUUAUGUUGCCAAUUUCAUUUAAGAGUGUGUGGGAAGGAUGAAAUCAGACAUGGAGCUGCCACAGCACACACUCCUUCAUUCAUUCAUCAUUACUGCAUCCUGUUGACUCCUGCAUCCUCUCCAAACAUCCUUGCUUAUUUACAUCUUUAUAGAUACAUGUCCCCGCUGUCUCUACUCCACACAGGUUUUGUGGCAUCUUCCUAUCUCCAAUUUAUUGGUGAAGAAAUUAAAGACAAGAAAGAAAAAGAAGCUUGAAGAACUGGAUCUGUAGUUAAUUAGAGACUCAUGUAACAAAGUACAGCAGCAGAUCUUUGAGGGCCACUCACCCUCCACCCCGUGCUAAUGAAAACCACAUAUGGACUGGUCCUAGCACGGCCAUAGAGUCUGAGAGGCAAAGGCUCAAAUGGAAAAGGAGCUCCCUUAUUCAUGGGCUGUGGAGAGGAUAUACAUGGCCCCAGACAAAUGAACAAGCAGAGAGAAACCCCUCUUUUCUCUGUAGGAUUGAAAAGCACCUGUGGAUGACACAUCCAACACACCAGUCCACCAGCUGCUUGACUUUCUUUGCUCCAUGGACCUUCAUCUCCAACCCACCGCAGAAAACCAUUUCCAGAGACAUAGCCCAGCCCUUGUCAUCACCUGGAAAGGCCCCACCUUGGAAAUCUGGGCUGUGAAUUCCUUAAAGGCAGGGAACAGGUCCUAAUUCUUCUUUGUUCCUGGGAACUCCCAUGGUAAGUGACAGAGUCGAUGCUCAGUAACUGAUUUUUUGGAUGAAUGACUCAAAGACUCCACUCUCCAAUCAGAACCUUCUAAGCUUCUACCUCUCACUCCUGCAAUCAAAAUAAAUAUGCCCCUCAACCUUUCUCAGAUCUCUGGCUUUCUGUCCUCUCCCUGCUCACCCAGGCUAUCAGCCUCAUCCUACAGUUUCUUUUUCUCUACACAGAGUGGACACCAAGGUCAACUGCUCCAACUCCGUUCUCACCAGGACCCUUCUGCUGCCCCACCCACAGGGCUAACCCCAACCCUUGCCUCACCUGCCUUUCUUCUGUCCAUAUGCUAAGUGCCUCUAGGAGAAAGUCAUUCAUAUUAGCAUCAUUACAAAUGCUUGGUUUGCAACCUUGGCCAGGCCCUCCAUGCUGCUAGGAAAUCCUACAUGUCCUUGGCACCUCAUGUUCCCAUCUUCUCAUUCCCUAAAGAAAAUGUAUCAAACCUCUACCUCUUUCUUUGAGCCCACUUCUCAACCCUCACCCUUCUCAUGCUUCCCAGCUUCACAGAGGAAAUGGAGGCCACCCUACGUGAACUCCAAACUCUUUCCUUUCCAUCUCAGGAUCUUCCUCCCUCCUGUCUCUAAGGGAGUCUUCACCUGUGCUUUUGGUCAGACCAUUUUCUCCUUCUUCCUACAGGACCUCUUUUCAUCAAUGAUUCAGACUGCUUUCACCUGCCCUUUUUUGACUGCUCUCAAUAUAUCUCUGUGGAUAGGUAGGUAUGAAGGAGGAUAGAUUGGCAGAUAGAUUAUUUAUAUUGAAGAUUUCUCUCGAAAUCUCUCUCAAGCUUUUUUUCUCUCUCUCUCAGUCUCUCACUUGUUCUGUGUGUGUGUGUAUAUAUACUAUCCAGUUUGUAUAAAGAAAUCCUUCAAAUGAACAACAAAAAGACAAAUAACCCAAUUAAAAAAUGGGCAAAAGACUUGAAUAGACUCUGCAAAGAAGACAUACAAGUGGCCAGAAAGCACUAAAUGAUGUUCAACAUCAUUAAUCAUCAGGGAAACGCAAAUCAAAACUACAAUGAGAUACCAUUCACACCCUUUAGAAUGACUGCUAUUAAAAAAAAAAAAGGCAGAAAGUAAGUGUUGGAGAGAAUGUGGAGAAAUAGGAACUCUUUCCUUGCUAGUACCAAUGUCCAAAUGGUGUAGCUACUGUGAAAAACAGUUUGGGGGUUCCUCAGAGAGCUAAGUAUAGAACUGCCAUAUGACCUGGUAAUUCCAUUCCUGAGUAUAACCCAAAAGAAUUGAAAGCAGGAAUUCAUACAGAUAUUUGCA